UACGUAGGGGGCAAGCGUUGUCCGGAAUUAUUGGGCGUAAAGAGCUUGUAGGCGGUCUGUCGCGUCUGCUGUGAAAAUCCGGGGCUCAACCCCGGACUUGCAGUGGGUACGGGCAGACUAGAGUGUGGUAGGGGAGACUGGAAUUCCUGGUGUAGCGGUGAAAUGCGCAGAUAUCAGGAGGAACACCGAUGGCGAAGGCAGGUCUCUGGGCCGAUACUGACGCUGAGGAGCGAAAGCGUGGGGGAGCAAACAGG
rnacentral:rRNA from 1 species